GAUAAACGCUGGCGGCGUGCUUAACACAUGCAAGUCGAACGGAGUGGUUCUCCCGAGAAGUGACGAAGCUUGCUUCAGAAUGACUCAUUUGAAUCACUUAGUGGCGGACGGGUGAGUAACGCGUGGGUAACCUGCCCUAUACUGGGGGAUAGCAGUUGGAAACGACUGAUAAUACCGCAUAAGCACACAGCAUCGCAUGUUGCAGUGUGAAAAACUCCGGUGGUAUAGGAUGGACCCGCGUCUGAUUAGCUAGUUGGUGAGGUAACGGCCCACCAAGGCGACGAUCAGUAGCCGGCCUGAGAGGGUGUACGGCCACAUUGGGACUGAGACACGGCCCAAACUCCUACGGGAGGCAGCAGUGGGGAAUAUUGGACAAUGGGGGCAACCCUGAUCCC
rnacentral:rRNA from 1 species